rnacentral:rRNA from 1 species
GAUCAUGGCUCAGGAUGAACGCUGGCGGCGUGCUUAACACAUGCAAGUCGAACGAAGCACUUUAAUUGAUUUCUUCGGAAUGAAGUUUUUGUGACUGAGUGGCGGACGGGUGAGUAACGCGUGGGUAACCUGCCUCAUACAGGGGGAUAACAGUUGGAAACGACUGCUAAUACCGCAUAAGCGCACAGGAUUGCAUGAUCCAGUGUAGAAAACUCCGGUGGUAUGAGAUCGGACCCGCG